GCGGAGGUAGCGAAGUGGUCAAACGUGCCAGGUUUAGGCCCUGGUGGCUUAGUGCCUUCGCAGGUUCGAAUCCUGCCCUCCGCA
rnacentral:tRNA from 1 species